UACAGAGGUCCCGAGCGUUGUUCGGAUUCACUGGGCGUAAAGGGUGCGUAGGUGGCUGGGAAAGUUUGAUGUGAAAGCUCAGGGCUUAACCCUGAAAUGGCAUUGAAUACUGCCUGGCUGGAGGUUUGGAGGGGGGACUGGAAUUCUUGGUGUAGCAGUGAAAUGCGUAGAUAUCAGGAAGAACACCCGUGGCGAAGGCGGCUCUCUGGGACGUGACUGACGCUGAGACGCGAAAGCGUGGGGAGCGAACAGG
rnacentral:rRNA from 1 species